rnacentral:lncRNA from 1 species
UCCAACCAUCAACCUUCAACAGCACCAAUCGACCUUCCACAGUGUCCUCCAGAUUUCUCCAGCGAACGAACCUUCUACAACACCUUCUGAAUUUCGCUAUCAGUCAACCUUCUGUCGAAUUUCUCAUGCAACUGGAUCUCUCCAGCGGACAAUCUUCAGACAAGCUUCUACACCAGAUAAAUUUUAGACAGACUUCUCUAGCAAUCGGACUCCCACCGGACUUCUCCAACAGAAAGUUUUCAUUUGGGCUUCUACAGCAGAUGACUUUCGUCUGCAGCAUUGACGUCUAAGGCACCCAACAACAGUUAACCCGUCAGCAACCUCAAAAAUAUCU